rnacentral:rRNA from 1 species
UACAGAGGGGGCAAGCGUUAUUCGGAAUUAUUGGGCGUAAAGGGCGCGUAGGCGGCUUUGCAAGUGACGGGUGAAAGCCCUCGGCUUAACCGAGGAACUGCCUGUCAGACUGUAAGGCUUGAGACCGGGAGAGGUGAGUGGAAUUCCCAGUGUAGCGGUGAAAUGCGUAGAUAUCUGGAGGAACACCGGUGGCGAAGGCGGCAUCCUGGACCAACAUUGACGCUGAGGAGCGAAAGCCAGGGGAGCAAACGGG